UCCAAUUGACAGCUCAGAAGCCUUAGUAGC
rnacentral:piRNA from 1 species